UCUCGUGGCAGGAAGUCAUGGCGGCCUCAGGCCCGUCCGAGCUAUUCCGGCAACCUCGGACCUUUGGCGGCGGCCUUUGUUCGGCAUCUGCAGAGACGGUGAGAAGCCGACGUGCACGUUGAAGCUUAAAACUAGCGCAUGGAACCCUGAAUUGAGUCGCAUGGAUGCAGAUUAAAGAUGUUGGCUGUGGACUUGGAAAAAAGUCACAUGAAAACCAUCAUCCAAAGAUAUUGAGUGUAAGGAUCUUCGUGAUGAAAUUUCUAUAAAUGGUAGUCUCAGCCUCAGUUUGAGGCCGAAAAGGAUGCUCCAGAACAAGACACUAACUAGCAGCAGUGCCGUUUCAGCUGCCCUGGACCCGAGGCGGAAUUUCUCUCGUGUGUCUGCAGUGAGUGAGACAGAAUUGAACUGCUUUGCCUGAAGAAGUGAAAUGAUGAUUCUUCUCCUGUUGUUUGUAAGCUUUCUCUUUCCAUGUUAACAUGUCCCAAAGAAGCCCCACAAGCCUAUGAUGGUUAGUUAUCCCUGUCUGAAAAUCUCAACUGAGGGAAAACAAUCUGUUCUGAGGCUUAAGGGGCUGGCCCUGUGCUCUUAAAAGAAGUUCAGGCUCUAUAAGGGAUCGAAUUGAAUGGACUCCAAAGGGAAUUGUGCACACCCUGCCAAGACCCCAGUCCUAAUGCAUCAUCCCUCUGCAGCUUGAAAACCAGUGGUGUGGCUGCCCUGUCACACUUUAGGCCCCUUGAUUAAUGGCUCUGAGGGCACAGGCUAUAAGAGGUGGCAGAAAUGGGCAAGUGGCCCAGAUUUGAUUUGUACACUUACUGUAGAAUGAAAGAGUGCUUGUCACAUAUUUCAAAAAAAUGAAUGUGCUGUUUGAAACAGACGGGAAUGGCAGAUGUAUGCCAGCUGUGGCAGUGAGAACACUUCAGGACUGUCUGACCUCUUGCCCUUGCACCAUAUCCUGACAUCCAGGAAAGACAGGGUACAGUGGCACUAGCAGAGCGAUUUGGUUUCCAGGUGCUUUGUUAACACCAGGGAGCUCUGCUGGUGUUAGCUGAGCUCUGUCUGAAUGGCAUGGCUGGCAUGUGAGCAAGAGAGUAGCAGAGUGGAGCUGAGCUUUGUUCCCAUUUAAAUGCCAGGCUUGAACUGGACACAGAUUGCCUUUUCUGUUGAAGUUGGGAGGUGUGUGCAACUUUUUAUACAUAAGGUCACAUAUUUGUUCGGUCACCAAGGAAGCUAUAUUUGGAGUGAGAUUUAAAGAGCCUGAAAACCGGUCCAAGCAGCUUAUAGCUGGAAGUAAAACAAAGCGAAAGGACGUGUUAGCAAGUGGGAAAGUCUACCUGCUGGGUUAUAGUCUGCUUCUGAGUGGACUUGACUGCUCUGUGGGACCCAAGUGAACCUGUAGGUUGGUUUCUGUUUUUGUUUUUUUUUAAGCUGCACCGUAUGGCUUGUGGGAUCUUAGUUCUUCAACCAGGGAUUGAACCCUGGCCCUUGGCAGUGAGAGUGAUGAGUCCUAACCACUGGACUGCCAGGGAAUUCCCGAACCUGUAGGUUUGACUCCAGACGGGGGUUGAAUAUGAAUGUUGCCAGCACUUAAUGGCUGCUCUUUACUGGUACUGGCCACUUGCCAGAUCUGCUUCCUCAGAGCACAGUCUCCCGAAAAGGAGAGUCAUCUGGGACCAACCAGGCUGCACUGAAUUGAUCUGGUUGUGCCUUCCACACACACGCACACGCAUAAUGGUUGAUUGCUUAGAAUGAGUUCCUCUAGGAUUACCAUUUUUUAAAUUUUCUUUAAAUUUAACCUUAGUUUUGAGUCUCUUAGUUGGCUGCCACAUCAAAUGAUUCUUUGGGGGUUUUUUUUGUGUGGUACGCAGGCCUCUCAGUGUUGUGGCCUCUCCCGUUGCGGAGCACAGGCUCCGGACGCGCAGGCUCAGCGGCCAUGGCUCACGGGCCCAGCUGCUCCGUGGCAUGUGGGAUCUUCCCGGACCGGGGCACGAGCCCGCGUCCCCUGCGUCGUCAGGCGGACUCUCAACCACUGCGCCACCAGGAAGCCCGAUUCUUUGGUUUUAUAGGUUGCCUCCCAGUGAUGCCAGAAGGGAUCAGCAGAGCCCCAGGUGCUAGUUGCUAAUGCCUAUAAAAUACCACCCUCCCCCCUGCAAAGGAGAAUCAUUUAAGAGUUCUUUGGACUUCAAAGUAGCCAAAGAAUUCAAGUGACAGGGUAUCCCAGAAAAUCUUUUGCAGUUAGUGAAAUUAGGGUAUAACUAAGAACAUUCAGAAUACUACACACAUAGUAUAGGUGAUCUUGGUAUAGUGGUGGGACAGCAGUGAUUAUGAAAUGAAAGUCAUUAACAUGUGCAUGCUGUGUGGGGGGAGGCCAAAAGGAAAGAGGUGUUCAGCCUAGAAAAACAUUUCUCGGUGGAUUUCCUCUGAAGUCAGUGUGUCUUGGGUUUAACUUUGAAACAAAUUAAAAAAUUUUAAAACUGA